UUGAUGUUGCUGGAUAACACCUGGUGAAUUUAGACUGCUUUUGGGGUAAGCGAUUUAACAAUUGCUCAUUUAAAAUUAUAUAUGUUAUUUUACCAAUAGUUAUUUAUCAUUUUUUCAAUCUUUUGUACUGACAGGUUUUGAAGACUGAAGCUACAAGUCAAGAUUCAAGUUUAGAAUAUGCACAAGCUCAUUAUUAUUUUGCUAAAUGUUAUGCAAAACUUGAUAUCAUAGUCUAGCUCAGGAUGAUAGCUAAGUUUUUUUUGUUGAGGUGUUGAGAAAACAUAGAAAGUAACAUCAUCAUGGGAUUUCAACUUGAUAUCUUAUAUUUUUAUAUCUAGAUUUUUCAAUAACAAUUUGAUAUUGAU
rnacentral:lncRNA from 1 species